rnacentral:tRNA from 1 species
GCGGCAGUAGCUCAGUUGGUAGAGCAUCAGCUUCCCAAGCUGAGGGCCGUGGGUUCGAGUCCCAUUUGCCGCU